rnacentral:rRNA from 1 species
CACGUAGGGCGCAAGCGUUGUCCGGAAUUAUUGGGCGUAAAGAGCUCGUAGGCGGUCUGUUGCGUCCGCUGUGAAAACUCGGGGCUUAACCCCGAGCCUGCAGUGGAUACGGGCAGACUAGAGGUAUGCAGGGGAGAACGGAAUUCCUGGUGUAGCGGUGAAAUGCGCAGAUAUCAGGAGGAACACCGGUGGCGAAGGCGGUUCUCUGGGCAUGUCCUGACGCUGAGGAGCGAAAGUGUGGGGAGCGAACAGG